UGGGGAAUAUUGCACAAUGGGCGCAAGCCUGAUGCAGCCAUGCCGCGUGUGUGAAGAAGGCCUUCGGGUUGUGAAGCACUUUCAGCGAGGAGGAAGGGUAGUGUGUUAAUAGCACAUUGCAUUGACGUUACUCGCAGAAGAAGCACCGGCUAACUCCGUGCCAGCAGCCGCGGUAAUACGGAGGGUGCAAGCGUUAAUCGGAAUUACUGGGCGUAAAGCGCACGCAGGCGGUUUGUUAAGUCAGAUGUGAAAUCCCCGCGCUUAACGUGGGAACUGCGUUUGAAACUGGCAAGCUAGAGUCUUGUAGAGGGGGGUAGAAUUCCAGGUGUAGCGGUGAAAUGCGUAGAGAUCUGGAGGAAUACCGGUGGCGAAGGCGGCCCCCUGGACAAAGACUGACGCUCAGGUGCGAAAGCGUGGGGAGCAAACA
rnacentral:rRNA from 1 species